GGAAUAUAAAAAUUUGUCUCUUAACUUUUGACUAAAAAAGCUAGGAACCGGCUCUUAAAUAAGAGUUUUAAGAGCCGGUUCUUAGCUUUUUUAAUUAAAAGUUAAUAGACAGUUUCUUAUAUUCU
rfam:Brassica napus, WGS project CCCW01000000 data, contig: 8689